GACGAACGCUGGCGGCGUGCUUAACACAUGCAAGUCGAACGGAAAGGCCCUGCUUUUGUGGUGUGCCCGAGUGGCGAACGGGUGAGUAACACGUGAGUAACCUGCCCUUGACUUUGGGAUAACUUCAGGAAACUGGGUCUAAUACCGGAUAGGAGCUCCUGCUGCAUGGUGGGGGUUGGAAAGUUUCGGCGGGUGGGGAUGGACUCGCGGCUUAUCAGCUUGUUGGUGGGGUAGUGGCUUACCAAGGCUUGGACGGGUAGCCGGCCUGAGAGGGUGACCGGCCACAUUGGGACUGAGAUACGGCCCAGACUCCUACGGGAGGCAGCAGGGGGGAAUAUUGCACAAUGGGCGGAAGCCUGAGGCAGCAACGCCGCGUGCGGGAGGACGGCCUUCGGGUUGUAAACCGCUUUCGCCUGUGACGAAGCGUGAGUGACGGUAAUGGGUAAAGAAGCACCGGCUAACUACGUG
rnacentral:rRNA from 1 species